rnacentral:rRNA from 1 species
AUGGACGCCGCCGUCUCGCCAAUCUCGCCCACCCACACUAGAUCCCGGCGCUCCAUGGAGACUUGGGGAAGACACGUCCCCCAACUCUAUAAUGCCGCCUCCAGCGCCGCCGUGGAGGAACCGGAGUUGCGGAAGAUGUAUUGGACACUAGUGCGCGGCCACCACCCGGACGAAGCCAAACGAAAACCUAACCCUACAGCUAUCUACAAACGGAAUGCAUGCACCACUCGGCCAACUAUUCACACGACCAACGCGUCGCCGCUCUCGGUCCGCAUGUAUGUAUGGCGCGCCCCGCCGGUCGCCGACGCGUACGUUUGA